AGAGUUUGAUCAUGGCUCAGGACGAACGCUGGCGGCGUGCUUAACACAUGCAAGUCGAGCGGAAAGGCCCUUCGGGGUACUCGAGCGGCGAACGGGUGAGUAACACGUGAGCAACCUGCCCUUGGCUUUGGGAUAACCCUCGGAAACGGGGGCUAAUACCGAAUAUCCAUCUUCGAUCGCAUGGUGGUUGGUGGAAAGUUUUUCGGCCAGGGAUGGGCUCGCGGCCUAUCAGCUUGUUGGUGGGGUGAUGGCCUACCAAGGCGACGACGGGUAGCCGGCCUGAGAGGGCGACCGGCCACACUGGGACUGAGACACGGCCCAGACUCCUACGGGAGGCAGCAGUGGGGAAUAUUGCACAAUGGGCGAAAGCCUGAUGCAGCGACGCCGCGUGAGGGAUGACGGCCUUCGGGUUGUAAACCUCUUUCAGCAGGGACGAAGCGAGAGUGACGGUACCUGCAGAAGAAGCGCCGGCCAACUACGUGCCAGCAGCCGCGGUAAGACGUAGGGCGCGAGCGUUGUCCGGAUUUAUUGGGCGUAAAGAGCUCGUAGGCGGCUUGUCGCGUCGACUGUGAAAACCCGUGGCUCAACCAUGUGGUCUGCAGUCGAUACGGGCAGGCUAGAAUUCGGUAGGGGAGACUGGAAUUCCUGGUGUAGCGGUGAAAUGCGCAGAUAUCAGGAGGAACACCGGUGGCGAAGGCGGGUCUCUGGGCCGAUAUUGACGCUGAGGAGCGAAAGCGUGGGGAGCGAACAGGAUUAGAUACCCUGGUAGUCCACGCUGUAAACGUUGGGCGCUAGGUGUGGGGGGCCUCUCCGGUUCUCUGUGCCGCAGCUAACGCAUUAAGCGCCCCGCCUGGGGAGUACGGCCGCAAGGCUAAAACUCAAAGGAAUUGACGG
rnacentral:rRNA from 1 species